AAAUUGAAGAGUUUGAUCAUGGCUCAGAUUGAACGCUGGCGGCAGGCCUAACACAUGCAAGUCGAACGGUAACAGGAAGCAGCUUGCUGUUUUGCUGACGAGUGGCGGACGGGUGAGUAAUGUCUGGGAAACUGCCUGAUGGAGGGGGAUAACUACUGGAAACGGUGGCUAAUACCGCAUAACGUCGCAAGACCAAAGAGGGGGACCUUCGGGCCUCUUGCCAUCAGAUGUGCCCAGAUGGGAUUAGCUUGUUGGUGAGGUAACGGCUCACCAAGGCGACGAUCCCUAGCUGGUCUGAGAGGAUGACCAGCCACACUGGAACUGAGACACGGUCCAGACUCCUACGGGAGGCAGCAGUGGGGAAUAUUGCACAAUGGGCGCAAGCCUGAUGCAGCCAUGCCGCGUGUAUGAAGAAGGCCUUCGGGUUGUAAAGUACUUUCAGCG
rnacentral:rRNA from 1 species